GAUGAACGCUGACAGAAUGCUUAACACAUGCAAGUCAACUUGUGGCGGACGGGUGAGUAACGCGUAAAGAAGUUGCCUCACAGGAAGGGACAACAUUUGGAAACGAAUGCUAAUAACAAAGACUGUGAGAGAGCGUUGCGUCCCAUUAGCUAGUUGGAGAGGUAACGGCUCACCAAGGCGAGGAUGGGUAGCCGGCCUGAGAGGGUGAUCGGCCACCAGGGGACUGGGACAUGGCCCUUACGCAUACGGGAGGCAGGAGUGGGGAAUAGUGGACAAUGGACCGAAGUCUGAUCCAGCACUUCUGUGUGUACGAUGAAGUUUUCGGAAUGUAAAGUGCUUUCAGUUGGGAAGCGUUACCAACAGAAGAAGUGACGGCUAACUACGUGCAAGCCGCCGCGGUAAUUC
rnacentral:rRNA from 1 species